GAUGAAGAACGCAGCGAAAUGCGAUAAGUAGUGUGAAUUGCAGAAUUCAGUGAAUCAUCGAAUCUUUGAACGCACAUUGCGCCCUUUGGUAUUCCUUAGGGCAUGCCUGUUCGAGCGUCAUUUGAAACCUCAAGCUCAGCUUGGUGUUGGGUGUCUGUCCCCGCCUCCGCGGGGACUCGCCUCAAAAUCAUUGGCGGCCGGUACGUUGGCUUCGAGCGCAGCAGAAACGCGAACUCGAGGCCCGACGGAUCGGCGACCAGAAGUCUCUUCUUCACAGUUUGACCUCGGAUCAGGUAGGGAUACCCGCUGAACUUAAGCAUAUCAAUAAGCGGAGGA
rnacentral:misc_RNA from 1 species